CCUACGGGAGGCAGCAGUGAGGAAUAUUGGUCAAUGGACGCGAGCCUGAACCAGCCAAGUAGCGUGAAGGAUGACUGCCCUAUGGGUUGUAAACUUCUUUUAUAUGGGAAUAAAACAGGGUAUGCAUACCCUCUUGUAUGUACCAUAUGAAUAAGGAUCGGCAAACUCCGUGCCAGCAGCCGCGGUAAUACGGAGGAUCCGAGCGUUAUCCGGAUUUAUUGGGUUUAAAGGGAGCGUAGGUGGAUUGUUAAGUCAGUUGUGAAAGUUUGCGGCUCAACCGUAAAAUUGCAGUUGAAACUGGCAGUCUUGAGUACAGUAGAGGUGGGCGGAAUUCGUGGUGUAGCGGUGAAAUGCUUAGAUAUCACGAAGAACUCCGAGUGCGAAGGCAGCUCACUGGACUGCAACUGACACUGAUGCUCGAAAGUGUGGGUAUCAAACAGGAUUAGAUACCCCAGUAGUC
rnacentral:rRNA from 1 species